rnacentral:rRNA from 1 species
AUUGAAUGGCUCAGUGAGGCCUUCGGACUGGCUCGAGGAGGUUGGCAACGACCACCUCAAGCCGGAAAGUUCGUCAAACUCGGUCAUUUAGAGGAAGUAAAAGUCGUAACAAGGUCUCCGUAGGUGAACCUGCGGAGGGAUCAUUACACAAAUAUGAAGGCGGGCUGGAACCUCUCGGGGUUACAGCCUUGCUGAAUUAUUCACCCUUGUCUUUUGCGUACUUCUUGUUUCCUUGGUGGGUUCGCCCACCACUAGGACAAACAUAAACCUUUUGUAAUUGCAAUCAGCGUCAGUAACAAAUUAAUAAUUACAACUUUCAACAACGGAUCUCUUGGUUCUGGCAUCGAUGAAGAACGCAGCGAAAUGCGAUAAGUAGUGUGAAUUGCAGAAUUCAGUGAAUCAUCGAAUCUUUGAACGCACAUUGCGCCCUUUGGUAUUCCAAAGGGCAUGCCUGUUCGAGCGUCAUUUGUACCCUCAAGCUUUGCUUGGUGUUGGGCGUCUUGUCUCUAGCUUUGCUGGAGACUCGCCUUAAAGUAAUUGGCAGCCGGCCUACUGGUUUCGGAGCGCAGCACAAGUCGCACUCUCUAUCAGCAAAGGUCUAGCAUCCAUUAAGCCUUUUUUCAACUUUUGACCUCGGAU